AUGGACGUCAACGAGGAGGCCAUGGCGGCCAACAAGCGCGCCUUCCUCGACUUCCUCGACCAAGACGUCGGGAAGGGAGUGUACAUGCAGGCCGUGCGCGACAUGGUGCAGAGCAAGCGCCACCGGCUCACCAUCGGCAUGGACGACCUCCGCAACCACAACCUCGACCUCGCCCGCAGGGUGAUACGGAGCCCCGGGGAGUUCAUGCAGCCGGCGUCGGACGCCGUGACGGAGGUGGCCAGGAACCUGGAUCCCAAGUUCCUCAAGGAAGGGGAGCGCGUGCUCGUGGGCUUCACCGGCCCGUUCGGCUUCCACAGGGUCACGCCCAGGGACCUCAUGUCCUCCUUCAUCGGCACCAUGGUCUGCGUCGAGGGCAUCGUCACCAAAUGCUCACUGGUGAGGCCGAAGGUUGUUAAGAGUGUGCACUACUGCCCUGCCACUGCGGCUUUUAUGUCUCGUGAAUACAGGGACAUUACAUCUUUUGUAGGCUUACCUACUGGUUCAGUUUAUCCAACAAGGGAUGAAAAUGGCAAUUUGUUGGUCACCGAGUAUGGGAUGUGUCAAUACAAGGAUCACCAGACAUUGUCCAUGCAAGAGGUUCCUGAAAAUGCUGCCCCUGGACAGCUCCCAAGAACUGUGGAUGUUAUUGUAGAAGAUGAUCUUGUAGAUUGUUGCAAGCCAGGUGACCGUGUCUCAAUUGUUGGUCUAUACAAGGCUCUUCCAGGGAAAAGCAAGGGCAGUGUUAGUGGUGUCUUCAGGACUGUCCUUAUUGCUAAUAAUGUUUCACUUCUGAACAAAGAGGCAAAUGCGCCUGUCUAUACUCGGGAAGAUCUGAAGCGAAUGAAAGAAAUAUCAAGGAGAAAUGAUACAUUUGACUUGCUGGGGAAUUCACUUGCUCCAUCAAUUUAUGGCCAUAUCUGGAUAAAGAAGGCAGUUGUACUCUUAAUGCUUGGUGGUGUUGAGAAGAAUUUGAAAAAUGGAACUCACUUGAGAGGAGAUAUUAACAUGAUGAUGGUGGGAGAUCCUUCUGUUGCCAAGUCCCAGCUUCUGAGAGCUGUUAUGAACAUAGCCCCAUUGGCUAUAUCAACAACUGGAAGGGGUUCAUCUGGUGUUGGUUUGACUGCUGCUGUCACUUCUGACCAAGAGACUGGGGAAAGAAGGCUUGAGGCUGGUGCCAUGGUUCUUGCUGAUCGUGGCGUUGUCUGCAUUGAUGAAUUUGAUAAGAUGAAUGAUCAAGACCGAGUUGCUAUACAUGAAGUUAUGGAACAGCAAACUGUGACCAUUGCCAAGGCAGGAAUACAUGCAUCGCUAAAUGCAAGAUGUAGUGUAAUUGCUGCAGCAAAUCCAAUAUAUGGAUCUUAUGAUCGUUCAAUAACACCAACAAAGAACAUUGGGCUUCCAGAUUCACUGCUCUCUCGUUUUGAUUUGCUUUUUAUUGUUCUGGAUCAAAUGGAUGCUGAGAUCGAUCGCCAGAUUUCAGAACAUGUUGCACGGAUGCAUAGAUACUGUGCUGAUGAUGGAGGAGCAAGGUCUUUUGAUAAAGCAGGAUAUGCUGAAGAAGAAGAUGGUGAUGCCAAUGCAGCCAUAUUUGUUAAAUAUGAUAGAAUGCUCCAUGGGCAGGAUAGAAGGCGGGGCAAGAAGGCCAAACAGGACAGGCUGACUAUCAAAUUCCUGAAGAAAUAUAUACAUUAUGCGAAGAACCUUAUUCAGCCUAGGCUCACUGAUGAGGCAUCUGACCACAUUGCAACUACAUAUGCUGAGCUCAGAGAUGGUAGUGCAAAUGCAAAGGCUGGUGGAGGUACCCUUCCAAUUACUGCGAGGACACUGGAAACAAUAAUUCGUCUAUCUACUGCCCAUGCAAAGAUGAAACUGAGACAUGAGGUUCUUAAAACUGAUGUUGAGGCUGCACUGCAAGUUCUGAAUUUUGCAAUAUUCCAUAAGGAAUUGACUGACAUGGAAGACCGUGAGCAGAGGGAGACUGAAAAACAACAAACUGAACAAGAUGCAGGUGCAGGUGGUGAUAAUGUAGAUGGGCCCGGAGGUGCAAGCGGUGGCAAUGCAGACGUGCAUGGAAGCUCUGACGACCCAAUGGAUGUGGAUGGAGGCUCAGGCAAUGCAUCAAAUGAUCAGGAUGUUUCUUCACAGAGAAUGGAAGCAUUUGAGGCGAUUCUUGGACAGCAUGUGCUGGCAAACCAUGUUGAUCAAAUGUCCAUUGAUGAAGUUGAGCAAACAGUCAACAGAGAUGCAGCUGUUGCUUACACUAGGGGCCAAGUAGAGUUCAUCCUGGAGAGGAUGCAAGAUGCAAACAGGAUAAUGAUAAGGGAUGGCGUUGUUCGCAUCAUCUAA
rnacentral:rRNA from 1 species